GAUGAACGCUAGCGGCAGGCCUAACACAUGCAAGUCGAGGGAGGAGCCUUCGGGCUUCGACCGGCGUACGGGUGCGUAACGCGUAUACAAUCUGCCUUUCACAUAGGGAUAGCCCGAAGAAAUUUGGAUUAAUACCUAAUGGUAUAUAGAUGUGGCAUCACCUUUAUAUUAAAGCUGAGGCGGUGAAAGAUGAGUAUGCGUUCUAUUAGCUAGUUGGAGAGGUAACGGCUCCCCAAGGCGACGAUAGAUAGGGGUUCUGAGAGGGAUAUCCCCCACACUGGUACUGAGAUACGGACCAGACUCCUACGGGAGGCAGCAGUGAGGAAUAGUGGACAAUGGUCGGAAGACUGAUCCAGCCAUGCCGCGUGCAGGAAGACGGCCUUAUGGGUUGUAAACUGCUUUUGCAGGGGAAGAAUAAGGACUACGCGUAGUUUGAUGACGGUACUCUGCGAAUAAGCAUCGGCUAACUCCGUG
rnacentral:rRNA from 1 species